rnacentral:rRNA from 1 species
AACGCGAAGAACCUUACCUACCCUUGACAUGCCAGGAAGCCCGCUGAGAGGUGGGUGUGCCCGAAAGGGAGCCCGGACACAGGUGCUGCAUGGCUGUCGUCAGCUCGUGUCGUGAGAUGUUGGGUUAAGUCCCGCAACGAGCGCAACCCUUGUCACUAGUUGCUACGCAAGGGCACUCUAGUGAGACUGCCGGUGACAAACCGGAGGAAGGUGGGGAUGACGUCAAGUCCUCAUGGCCCUUAUGGGUAGGGCUUCACACGUCAUACAAUGGCGCAUACAAAGGGCUGCCAACCCGCGAGGGGGAGCCAAUCCCAGAAAGUGCGUCGUAGUCCGGAUCGCAGUCUGCAACUCGACUGCAUGAAGUCGGAAUCGCUAGUAAUCGCGGAUCAGCAAUGUCGCGGUGAAUACGUUCCCGGGUCUUGUACACACCG